AAUUAAACAAAUUAGUCACUAAAGAACCUAACUUUUAUUUUUAAUCUUCCCUCUAGAGGAGACCCUAUACUUUUUAUUUCCCUCUCUUCUUUUAAUCCUCCGGCCCUUGGCUUGUUUUCUAUUUACUAUUCUUAUUUCUCUUAUUUUCGUCCAUCAAAAUUAUUUCAGGAUCUCGUUAGCCCAUAUCCACAACCAGAAGGGAAGAAAAGGAUGAACACAGACAUUAUAACAGUAGCAAAGCUCGAAUAACCGGCUGCAGAUCAAAACUCUUUGCCUUACCACCUACAUCUUCGUCACUGCCGGUUACCUCUCUGAUUAUGAGGCUACCAAUGCUAGGCUCAUGGGUUGGUUCAUGUACAAGUGCUAGAAUCUUGCAGGUAUAUUAUGGGUUUUUUCCCCAUUGGAGAAAGUUGCAUCGAGCAUGGUUAAGUAGGUGGAGAAAUCGCUUUCACAACCAGUUACAUAGAAAUUCACUGAACUUGAGGAGAAAGAAAACUUACUACUGAGGAAAAGGGAACUAGCAUGUGAACAAAAAUGCUAGGGAUGAGAAUUUGACUAGAGAAUCAAGUUCAAUUUAAAUUUACAAUCCACAAAUAACAUGGCUGCAGAAUUAGUAUCCAAUGGAUGCAACUUGCUGGAGUCAACAAGAACUGACUUUCUACGGUCAAUGAAGAUGAUUUGUUAUAACUCAUCUAAUUAUGAUAUCCUUGGAGGCAGAAAUUGACACAGAAAGAAUUAGAUUUGUCAGGAGGAGAAAAAACUAUUGUUGGAUUCAAACGGUGUAUUUCUUUUCUUUUUUUGCUGAAACUCUAAAGUAUGCACUUGUAAUUAUCUCUGUAUAUAAUGAAUUUAAUGAAACACCUUAUUCUUCCUAGAAUAAAUAUUUGCAUAUUUUGUUA